rnacentral:rRNA from 1 species
UAGAGUUUGAUCCUGGCUCAGAUUGAACGCUGGCGGAAUGCUUACACAUGCAAGUCGAACGGCAGCACGGGAGCUUGCUCCUGGUGGCGAGUGGCGAACGGGUGAGUAAUGUAUCGGAACGUACCCCGUCGUGGGGGAUAACUCUCCGAAAGGAGAGCUAAUACCGCAUACGACCCGAGGGUGAAAGCGGGGGACCUGGGGUAACCUGGGCCUCGCGCGAUGGGAGCGGCCGAUAUCGGAUUAGCUAGUUGGUGGGGUAAAGGCCUACCAAGGCGACGAUCCGUAGCGGGUCUGAGAGGACGACCCGCCACACUGGAACUGAGACACGGUCCAGACUCCUACGGGAGGCAGCAGUGGGGAAUUUUGGACAAUGGGCGCAAGCCUGAUCCAGCCAUUCCGCGUGAGUGAAGAAGGCCUUCGGGUUGUAAAGCUCUUUCAGCAGGAACGAAACGGUGGGUCUUAAUACGGCCUGCUAAUGACGGUACCUGCAGAAGAAGCACCGGCUAACUACGUGCCAGCAGCCGCGGUAAUACGUAGGGUGCGAGCGUUAAUCGGAAUUACUGGGCGUAAAGCGUGCGCAGGCGGCGACAUAAGACAGAUGUGAAAUCCCCGGGGCUCAACCUGGGAACGGCGUUUGUGACUGUGUGGCUAGAGUGUAGCAGAGGGGGGUGGAAUUCCACGUGUAGCAGUGAAAUGCGUAGAGAUGUGGAGGAACACCGAUGGCGAAGGCAGCCCCCUGGGUCAACACUGACGCUCAUGCACGAAAGCGUGGGGAGCAAACAGGAUUAGAUACCCUGGUAGUCCACGCCCUAAACGAUGCCAACUAGGUGUUGGGGGAGGAGACUUCCUUAGUACCGUAGCUAACGCGUGAAGUUGGCCGCCUGGGGAGUACGGUCGCAAGAUUAAAACUCAAAGGAAUUGACGGGGACCCGCACAAGCGGUGGAUGAUGUGGAUUAAUUCGAUGCAACGCGAAAAACCUUACCUACCCUUGACAUGUCCGGAAUCCCGAAGAGAUUUGGGAGUGCUCGAAAGAGAGCCGGAACACAGGUGCUGCAUGGCUGUCGUCAGCUCGUGUCGUGAGAUGUUGGGUUAAGUCCCGCAACGAGCGCAACCCUUAUCAUUAGUUGCCAUCAUUGAGUUGGGCACUCUAAUGAGACUGCCGGUGACAAACCGGAGGAAGGUGGGGAUGACGUCAAGUCCUCAUGGCCCUUAUGGGUAGGGCUUCACACGUCAUACAAUGGUCGGUACAGAGGGUUGCCAACCCGCGAGGGGGAGCUAAUCUCACAAAGCCGAUCGUAGUCCGGAUCGCAGUCUGCAACUCGACUGCGUGAAGUCGGAAUCACUAGUAAUCGUGGAUCAGCAUGUCACGGUGAAUACGUUCCCGGGUC